rnacentral:rRNA from 1 species
AACAUGUGGUUUAAGUUUCGAUGAUACGCGAGGAACCUUACCUGGGCUAGAACGCAUUCGGAAUCAGGCCGAAAGGCCUGCGCCAGCGAUGGCCGCUUGCGAGGUGCUGCAUGGUUGUCGUCAGCUCGUGCCGUGAGGUGUCGGGUUAAGUCCCAUAACGAGCGCAACCCCUACCUGCUAGUUGCCAGCGGGUCAUGCCGGGGACUCUAGCGGAACUACCAGCGUAAGCUGCGAGGAAGGUGGGGAUGACGUCAAAUCAGCACGGCCCUUACGUCCAGGGCUACACACGUGUUACAAUGGCCGGUACAGAGGGCAGCCACCCCGCGAGGGGGCGCGAAUCCCGAAAGCCGGUCCCAGUUCGGAUCGGAGUCUGCAACCCGACUCCGUGAAGCUGGAUUCGCUAGUAAUCGCGCAUCAGCCACGGCGCGGUGAAUACGUUCCCGGGCCUU